rnacentral:rRNA from 1 species
UACGUAGGUGGCAAGCGUUGUCCGGAAUUAUUGGGCGUAAAGGGCGCGUAGGCGGCCACCGCAAGUCGACUGUGAAAUCUCCGGGCUUAACCCGGAAAGGUCAGCCGAUACUGCGGGCUAGAGUGCAGAAGGGGCAACUGGAAUUCUCGGUGUAGCGGUGAAAUGCGUAGAUAUCGAGAGGAACACCUGCGGCGAAGGCGGGUGCUGGGCUGACACUGACGCUGAGGCGCGAAAGCUAGGGGAGCGAACGGG